CAGCGAGGCUAAGCUAGUGGGGGCAAAGUUUCAGUACAUUCCGUUGAUGUAGACGGCGUGAAAACGGAAACAAGAAGUAUGCCGGCUCACUGUGCUGCAUACAAUUACACACUACGUCGUACGAUUGAGACAAGGAAACUUGGAAUGACUUUUCAUAGGUUUCCCAGAGACUAUGGGUUGAGGAGGAAUUGGAAGUUUGUCGGCUUAGACCUGGUGUCAUUCCAUCAGUGUUAAACUUCCCGGCUCAUCUUGGAAGAGUACGUGCCAGAAAGACCACGACCAAGCAGCCUUGAGAUCUUAGGCAGCGUCUCCCUGAGGUCCCUCUCUAUCUCCCCACACAUCCACCAACCACUGGAACACAUCUCCAAAGUUCUGCCGGGCCAGCUCAGCUUCCCCUCAGAAGAAGUGCCGCCACCUGCCAGAUGAAGGAGCCUUUUGAGAGGCAGCUGACAUCGUGAUUGGAUUGUACUUUGGUCUGUUCCAAUCCAGCUUCAGCUCCAGAGACGGCAGGCGGGACGAGUCAACGGAGGCCGGGUGGACGAAGACAUGCAGCUGAGUACAAUCCAGAAAACAACAGAGGAGGAGUGCAGCGGCCCAGAGCCAGAACAACCAGAGUAGCAUCCGACUCCAUGGAUUUUAUGGAUGGUGGUUAAAGACCUGCUCUUCUAGUCGUCUUCCUUCUAGUCGCUGUAAAAAGUCAGUCCAUCCUGGCCGACUUCAACACCU
ensembl:lncRNA